rnacentral:rRNA from 1 species
AUUGAACGCUGGCGGCAGGCCUAACACAUGCAAGUCGAACGGUAACAGGAAACAGCUUGCUGUUUCGCUGACGAGUGGCGGACGGGUGAGUAAUGUCUGGGAAACUGCCUGAUGGAGGGGGAUAACUACUGGAAACGGUAGCUAAUACCGCAUAACGUCGCAAGACCAAAGAGGGGGACCCUCGGGCCUCUUGCCAUCGGAUGUGCCCAGAUGGGAUUAGCUUGUUGGUGGGGUAACGGCUCACCAAGGCGACGAUCCGUAGCUGGUCUGAGAGGAUGACCAGCCACACUGGAACUGAGACACGGUCCAGACUCCUACGGGAGGCAGCAGUGGGGAAUAUUGCACAAUGGGCGCAAGCCUGAUGCAGCCAUGCCGCGUGUAUGAAGAAGGCCUUCGGGUUGUAAAGUACUUUCAGCGGGGAGGAAGGGAGUAAAGUUAAUACCUUUGCUCAUUGACGUUACCCGCAGAAGAAGCACCGGCUAACUCCGUG